UGGUGGCUGUGGAGCCCAGGCUCUGAUGUUUGUCAAAGCUUUCGUGGUGUGCCCUGGAUUGAGAACCAACACCCGAGCAGCCCCUCUCUUCCAACAGAGAAGCUCCUGUCCCAGAACGAACUCAAGGACAAGAGACCCUCAGAGCCCUAAGACUAGGAGCAUUUGCUCCUCUGAGGCCAGGAGGCUGGUGCUGGUCCAGAGAGGGCGGUGUGGCAGAAAUCAGCGUCCAGUGCAGCCCAGGAGCAGAUGCCUGCGUGCUGUGCCCGCUGGAGCCACACCUUCUGUGAUUUUGGUCUUGAGCCAAAAUUUGCACAGACUCGUCUCUCCCUUGCAGGGAACAGCCUUGGGGAGGCACUGGGGGAGCUCAAACCACUCACUGGGCCAAACCCUGAGAAAGUGGCAGUGAGGAAGUGUCCCCUGAGGUGACUGGAUCUGUGUUCCUCCCUAACAUCGUCAUCUGAUGGAUGGAAAUGAAACACGUGGAUUGUGGAAAACAGAAAAACAUAAAGGAAAAAACCCUAAGCCUCUAAGCCCACCACUGUUCAGAACCCCUGCUUUUGUCACCUACUAUUUUCCCUUAGUUUUUAGCAGCAGCUUGAUGUGGUAUAUGUCUGGUUUAACCAGUCGCCCUGAUCUUUUUUAUAAUCAAUAACAUGGGCGUGGAGAUCUUGAAUCAGAUCUUACAGUUGCCCCCAUGUAGGUUGGCUGUCCACGCAUGUGGAGGGGUCCCCUUCUUAGGUCAUCUCCACAUACUCCCCCAGUUCUGAGAUUCAUUACCCAUAGCAGGUUUCCGUCACACGCAAUGUCAGAUCAGGGAAGGGACUCUCCAUGCCGAGGGGCUUUCCCUCCUAGGGAAAUGGUCUGCUGAGUAAUGGGCAGAGAACAAAGGGGCUCCUAAUUCAAGGCAGGCCUAAGGGAGGGUCAGAAAGAACUUUAGCUGGAGGUUUUUACAGAUGUGAUCUCUAAUCCUUGAGGAUUCUUGGAAAAUAGGCAAGAUGCCAAAAGAAGAGAAAUGGCCAGGCCCUCCAAAGAAAAAAGCAAACCCAGAGAAUUAAGGACAGUGAACUUGCCCCUGAGCCCUGGCGAGGUUCUGCAGCAGCCCGUUAAGGGAUGUGUUUGAGCGCCAGUGCUCCUCAGCGACAGAUACAGCUGCCUCUGCAGUGCCUGAAGGCCCCGAUGUGGUGACCUAGGCCCUCCUGUGGAUAUAGAGGCAUCACCACUCUGCACUGUCAGACUCUGCAUGGAGUCAGAACAGAGACUGACCGGAGCACUUCCCAUCCCAGGCAUUUCAGUUCUUAUUGAGAAGUGAGGCACACAGGGGAAGAGAGGGCCUUUGGGGCUCUACUCUGGCUCUGGCUCUGCCACUCACUCCCUAAUCCAGCAGCCUCAGCACCCUCAUCUGUAAAAUGGAGAGUUUUGCCUGCAGGGUUUAGCACAGUGCCAGCCUGACGUGGGAACCCCAGUGGAUGAUCAGUUGUCAUUACUCUCCUGCAUCCUGGAGGUGACUGGCCUGGUUAACAGGCCACCCCUCCCGGAAGGCCCAGUACAGCCACACAGCAGCAGGAGGCUGGCCCAAGGCCAAGAAUCCUGGGAUGGGGGAAGGAGGGAGGAGGGGGAAGGCCAAGCUGCUGCAGCUCCUCCUCUUCCUGCUUCCUCCCUGCCCCACCCCCCUGCCUAGGGCAGUGCAAAGGCCAAUCGCUAGCAAACUCCCUGCCUAGCAAGGCCCAGCCUGGGGCAGAAAUGGCUGCAAGUGGCCGAGGACUCUGCAAGGCUGUGGCCGCCUCUCCCUUCCCUGCUUGGAGAGGAGCUCACUCGGAAGCCCGGGGAGGGCUAAAGUCUGAGUAUGAUGCGGUGGUGAUAGGAGCAGGACACAACGGACUGGUGGCUGCAGCGUACCUGCAGAGACUGGGGGUGAACACUGCCGUCUUUGAGACACGCCAUGUGAUCGGAGGUGCAGCUGUCACUGAGGAGAUCAUCCCAGAGUUUAAGUUCUCCCGUGCAUCCUACCUGCUCAGCCUGCUGAGGCCACAGAUUUACACUGACCUGGAGCUGAAGAAACAUGGGCUGAGGCUUCAUCUUCGAAAUCCUCACUCCUUCACCCCCAUGCUGGAAGAGGGUGCAGGCGGCAAGGUGCCCAGGUCCCUUCUGCUGGGCACAGACAUGGCAGAAAACCAGAAGCAGAUCGCCCAGUUCUCCCAGAAGGAUGCCCAGGCCUUUCCCAGAUACGAGGAGUUCAUGCACUGCCUUGCAUUAGCCAUUGACCCUCUGCUGGAUGUGGCCCCCGUGGACAUGGCAGCCUUCCAGCGUGGCUCCCUGCUGCAAAGGAUCAGGUCGCUCUCCACCCUCAAGCCCCUGCUGAAGGCAGGCCGCAUCCUGGGAGCCCAGCUUCCCCGGUAUUACGAGGUCCUCACAGCUCCCAUUACCAAGAUGCUGGAUCAGUGGUUUGAGUCCGAGCCUCUAAAAGCCACUCUAGCCACAGAUGCUGUGAUUGGAGCCAUGACAAGUCCCCACACUCCAGGGAGUGGGUAUGUGCUGCUGCAUCAUGUGAUGGGGGGCCUGGAGGGGACACCAGGGGCCUGGGGCUAUGUCCAGGGGGGCAUGGGUGCCCUCUCUGAUGCCAUCGCAAUCUCAGCCACCACACAUGGAGCAAGUAUCUUCACUGAAAAGACAGUGGUGAAGGUGCAGGUGAACAGCGAAGGCCGUGUGCAAGGAGUCGUGCUGGAAGAUGGCACAGAGGUGAGAAGCAGAGCGGUGCUGUCCAGCACAUCUCCGCAGAUCACCUUCCUGAAGCUGGCGCCACAGGAGUGGCUUCCUGAGGAGUUCGUGGAGAGAAUCUCUCAGCUGGACACCCGGUCUCCUGUCACCAAGAUCAAUGUGGCCGUAGACAGGCUGCCCAGCUUCCUGGCAGCCCCCAAUGCUCCCGGAGGCCAGCCGCUGCCCCAUCACCAGUGCUCCAUCCACCUGAACUGUGAAGACACCCUCCUUCUGCAUCAGGCCUUUGAAGAUGCCAUGGACGGGCUGCCUUCCCACAGGCCUAUGAUUGAGCUCUGCAUCCCUUCCUCGCUGGACCCCACCCUGGCUCCUGCUGGCUGCCACGUAGUCUCCCUCUUCACUCAGUACACGCCCUACACGCUGGCUGGAGGCAAGGCCUGGGACGAGCAGGAGAGAAACGCUUAUGCAGACAGAGUGUUUGAUUGUAUCGAGGCCUAUGCCCCUGGCUUCAAGGACUCUGUGGUUGGCAGAGACGUCCUCACACCCCCAGAUUUGGAGAGAAUCUUUGGGCUUCCUGGAGGGAACAUAUUCCACUGUGCCAUGACCCUGGACCAGCUCUACUUUGCCCGCCCUGUACCCCUGCACUCCGGCUACCGCUGCCCUCUCCAGGGCCUGUAUCUCUGUGGAAGUGGCGCUCAUCCUGGGCCCAUGGAGAAGGUGUAGGUCUGACCCAGGCUGCUGUGUGUAAAGGGGAUGAUGAUGCCUCCCAUAGAGGGAUGUGUGGAUUGUAUACACAUACACACAGCUCGCCAAAAUAUGCACCCUGUGUGAUCCAGCACUCACCCACUCCCAGCAUCAUCAUGCAGGAACCUCAGUUCCUGGCUGGCUGUGAGGAGGCAGGUGGCCCUGUUGAAAACCCCAAGUGGCAAGUAACUGCAGCAGCCUCCAACUGACCCAAGUUCUCAGACCUACAAAGAACAGAUGCUGCCAACACCACAUGAGCAAGAAAAUGGGUGUUUCCCCAGUUGAGCCUCCAGAUGAGAACACAGCCUGGCCGGCACCGUGAUUACAGCCUUGUGACACCCUGAGCAGGGGGUCCAGCUAAGCUGUGCCUGGAUUCCUGAACAAUGGAAACUGUGAGAUAAUAAAUAUGUGUUGUUCAAAGCCA